rnacentral:rRNA from 1 species
GACGAACGCUGGCGGCGUGCUUAACACAUGCAAGUCGAACGGUAAGGCCCUUCGGGGUACACGAGUGGCGAACGGGUGAGUAACACGUGGGUGAUCUGCCCUGCACUUCGGGAUAAGCCUGGGAAACUGGGUCUAAUACCGGAUAGGACCCUGGGAUGCAUGUCCUGGGGUGGAAAGCUUUUGCGGUGUGGGAUGGGCCCGAGGCCUAUCAGCUUGUUGGUGGGGUGAUGGCCUACCAUGGCGACGACGGGUAGCCGGCCUGAGAGGGUGAGCGGCCAGACUGGGACUGUGAUGCGGCGCAGGCUCAAAGGGGAGGCAGGAGUGGGGAAUAGUGCACAAUGGGCGCAAGCCUGAUGCGGCGACGCGGCGUGAGGGAUGACGGCCUUCGGGUUGUGAACCUCUUACAGCACCGACGAAGCGCAAGUGACGGUAGGUGUAGAAGAAGGACCGGCCAACUACGUGCCAGCCGCCGCCGUAA